GGCAUUAUAGCUUAGUCGGAAGAGCACGGCCCUCCAAAUGCUGGAGAAGAUCUCGUGGCUAUGGGUUCGAGCCCCGUUGAUGCCA
rfam:Phialocephala subalpina strain TAMH 11012 genome assembly, contig: PAC_scaffold_053